rnacentral:rRNA from 1 species
UACGGGGGGGGGCAAGCGUUGUUCGGAAUUACUGGGCGUAAAGGGCUCGUAGGCGGCCAACUAAGUCGGACGUGAAAUCCCCAGGCUCAACCUGGGAACUGCGUCCGAUACUGGAUGGCUUGAAUCCGGGAGAGGGAUGCAGAAUUCCAGGUGUAGCGGUGAAAUGCGUAGAUAUCUGGAGGAACACCGGUGGCGAAGGCGGCAUCCUGGACCAACACUGACGCUGAGGUGCGAAAGCGUGGGGAGCAAACAGG